rnacentral:rRNA from 1 species
UAGGGAAUCUUCGGCAAUGGACGAAAGUCUGACCGAGCAACGCCGCGUGAGUGAAGAAGGUUUUCGGAUCGUAAAACUCUGUUGUUAGAGAAGAACAAGGACGUUAGUAACUGAACGUCCCCUGACGGUAUCUAACCAGAAAGCCACGGCUAACUACGUGCCAGCAGCCGCGGUAAUACGUAGGUGGCAAGCGUUGUCCGGAUUUAUUGGGCGUAAAGCGAGCGCAGGCGGUUUCUUAAGUCUGAUGUGAAAGCCCCCGGCUCAACCGGGGAGGGUCAUUGGAAACUGGGAGACUUGAGUGCAGAAGAGGAGAGUGGAAUUACAUGUGUAGCGGUGAAAUGCGUAGAUAUAUGGAGGAACACCAGUGGCGAAGGCGGCUCUCUGGUCUGUAACUGACGCUGGGGCGCGAAAGCGUGGGGAGCAAACAGG